rnacentral:tRNA from 1 species
GGAGGCUCAGUGGCAGGGCGACGGCCUUGCAUACAGGAAGUCCCAGGUUAAAUACCUGGCAUCUCCC